rnacentral:misc_RNA from 1 species
UCGUAACAAGGUUUCCGUAGGUGAACCUGCGGAAGGAUCAUUACCGAGUGCGGGCUGCCUCCGGGCGCCCAACCUCCCACCCGUGACUACCUAACACUGUUGCUUCGGCGGGGAGCCCUCUCGGGGGCGAGCCGCCGGGGACUACUGAACUUCAUGCCUGAGAGUGAUGCAGUCUGAGUCUGAAUAUAAAAUCAGUCAAAACUUUCAACAAUGGAUCUCUUGGUUCCGGCAUCGAUGAAGAACGCAGCGAACUGCGAUAAGUAAUGUGAAUUGCAGAAUUCAGUGAAUCAUCGAGUCUUUGAACGCACAUUGCGCCCCCUGGCAUUCCGGGGGGCAUGCCUGUCCGAGCGUCAUUGCUGCCCAUCAAGCCCGGCUUGUGUGUUGGGUCGUCGUCCCCCCCGGGGGACGGGCCCGAAAGGCAGCGGCGGCACCGUGUCCGGUCCUCGAGCGUAUGGGGCUUUGUCACCCGCUCGAUUAGGGCCGGCCGGGCGCCAGCCGACGUCUCCAACCAUUUUUUUCAGGUUGACCUCGGAUCAGGUAGGGAUACCCGCUGAACCUAAGCAUAUCA